UUAAAGGUGAGACUGACUUUGCUCCAAAAUAAGAAAGAACUGCUACUCACAGAGGGAAACUAGCAUGGAUUUUACUUUCUGGAACCAUGAUAUGCCUGAAGCAGCAACACAGUGGCAAUUCCAGAGGGGUAGGAGCUCUGCUACCAUGCAAUGACACUGUAAUUACAAAAUAAGGGAAAAUUAGAAGUAGUACAAGUGUGCAGAACUAGCUCUGGUUGUGAGUUGUCAAAGAAAGCAAUGUAGCUGAUCUCAAAGGAACAUGGAAAGGCAAUGACACAAAGACAACUUUGUAGCAGACUGCUGCACCUGUUGCUUGCUUGCCACCUUAGAAGUCAGAGACCUCACACUGGGACCAAUUAAAACAGAACAAGUUAAUAACUUACAGGUAAGCUCCUCUUUCAGUAUACUGGUUUCAAGAUUUAAACAGGGAGAUCUGUUCAAGUUUAGUACUUCCUGUUUUGCAGAAGAAUGAAAUAACAAGAAUACAGUCGUGUUCUUUGCCUUCUCUGGUUUGGUGCUACGUGAAGUUCACUACGAACUUAGGACUUAAAGUUUGUUCUAAGCUGCCUCCAAAUGCGUGAAUACAGAUCUCAAGAGAACACAGCACCUUAACAUUCUUGCUUUAAGUUACAAAUGAGGCUUUUUAACAUCUCACAGCCAGGACAUGCACAGCCCCAUCGCAGAAUGCUACAGUCACUUACAGCAAGAUGGCUUCAAGGAGCUCAGGCUGACCAGAGGCAUUAGAAACAAAAUGGUGGUCACUGACUGAAGAAGGCAUCUGGAAAACGUGCCAGCGAGCUGCAGCUGAGGAGAAGGAGCAGAGCACAGCUGCCUCUGCCAGCGCCUGGGCGGCAGAAAGGGAGACAGAGCUUUUCCCGCCUUGCGGCUGCAGCCUCACGUGCGCCCCUCAGGAGGAGUCGGGCUUUCCCUCAGAGCGACUGAACACGUGCAGGGCCUGAGAAGGCGGGUGUGCCCUCACAACGCCCGGUUAGCUGAACUUCUGUCAGAAAGCCCCCUAGUGCACCACUUAGAGUUAUUCUUGGGAAGAAUGGGAAGCAGACAUUAACAUCUUGUACCUCUGAGGUAAGAGCUGCGGGAGCACAGAGAGGACUACCUCGAGCACGGCGGGGACCAGGGAGGUUUGCUGGAGGAGAAACCUGCCCUGGGGGGGGAAGGGUGCGUUGUGGGUGGAGAAACACAUGUUGCAGACCUCUUUCCCCACCCCCAC
ensembl:lncRNA